GUGCCAGCCGCCGCGGUAAUACGUAGGGGGCAAGCGUUGUCCGGAAUUAUUGGGCGUAAAGGGUGCGUAGGCGGCCUUUUAAGUCAGAUGUGAAAGCCCACGGCUUAACCGUGGGAUUGCAUUUGAAACUGGAAGGCUUGAGUAUCGGAGAGGGUAGUGGAAUUCCCAGUGUAGCGGUGAAAUGCGUAGAUAUCGGGAGGAACACCAGUGGCGAAGGCGGCUUUCUGGCCUGUAACUGACGCUGAUGCGCGAAAGCUGGGGGAGCAAACAGGAUUAGAUACCCUGGUAGUCCAUGCUGUAAACGAUGACAACUUGUUGAUGGGAGGGUUACCUUUCGUUGACGUAGCUAACGUGUUAAGUUGUCCGCCUGGGGAGUACGGUCGCAAGGCUGAA
rnacentral:rRNA from 1 species